UUACAUCACCGCCUUAAUACCGCGCGCCAUCACUUGGGAGCUCUGCCGGAAAGGGAGGGGCGCUGGGGAUAACGCACGCGCAGCCAAACACGGCACCACCGAGCCAGCGAGCGAGCACCUGCGGGCGCCCACGAGCUGAGCGAGUUCUUCCUCCCCAGCGCAGCACGGCUAGCUAGCUAGCUGCGUGGCCGGUCGACAUGGGCGACGGAGCGGCCGCCGUGCCUUGCAGGUUCCGCACGAUCUGCGUCUUCUGCGGCAGCAGCGCCGGACACCGGAAGGUGUUCGCGGAUGCCGCGCUCGAGCUCGGCCACGAGCUGGUGCGGAGGGGCAUCAGCCUGGUCUACGGCGGCGGCAGCAUCGGGCUGAUGGGCGUGAUUGCGCGGACGGUUCGCGACGGCGGCUACCAUGUCCUUGGGGUGAUUCCUAAAGCGCUCAUGCCUAUUGAGAUUUCAGGUGAAAGUGUAGGAGAAGUGAAGGUUGUAGCCGACAUGCAUCAGAGGAAGGCUGAGAUGGCUCGCCAAUCUGAAGCGUUCAUCGCUCUCCCAGGUGGGUAUGGAACAAUGGAGGAGUUGUUGGAGAUGAUAACUUGGUGCCAACUUGGAAUUCAUGACAAACCAGUUGGCUUGCUGAAUGUCGAUGGUUACUACGACCCGCCUCUCUCUCUCUCUCUCUCUCUCUCUCUCUCUCUCUCUCUCUCUCUCUCUCUCUCUCUCUCUCUCUCUCAAUACAUCAGCAGCAAGCUCUUUUCAAACGAAUUAAGGCGUCCUACAGGUCGGCUUGCUGAAUGUCGAUGGUUACUACGACCCGCUGAUUGCUCUGUUUGAAAAGGGGGCAACGGAGGGUUUCAUCAACCCUGACUGCAGGCAAAUAUUUGUUUCUGCACCAACCGCAAGCGAGCUGCUGACAAAGAUGGAGCAAUACACCCGGUUGCACCAGGAGGUAGCCCCGGCAACGAGCUGGGAGAUCUCGGAGCUCGGCUACGGGAAAGGCGGCGCACCGGCAGAAGACUCGUAGAACUCCCAUCACCUGAAGCUGAAGCGAAGCUCUGCCCACUGACGCUGCAUUUGUUUUCCCCGCUAUUUCCUCAAGUCUCCAAACCACUCAACUAGGUAUCGGCGCGAGCUCGGGGCGGUUUCUUGUCCGGAUCCAUCAGGAAAUCGCCCCCCUCCUCGUGUUCUCGCCACUCGCAGUUUGAAGUUUGAUUGCUCGGUUCUGUAAGCUGCCGCGCCUCUUUCGGGGUGUGGCGUGUAUGUGUGUGUGGUCACUGUGGAAACAGAAUCUGCCCGGGCCGGGGCAGCAGCACGGAAGCGGCAGCCCUGCCCCGACGACGUCACAGGUGAGCGGCCGACUGAUUGGGCCUGCGUGUACUCAUUGCCGGAGCCUUCUUUUGGUUAAAAAACGGUGGUGAUGUGAGAUGGAUAGAUGGAUCAAAUGGAUGGGUUCAUGAUUCGUGCUC